AGCUAAUGAACUUGAUUAAGUAUAUAUUUUGAAAAUAUAAUAUAGAAGUUUAACCUUCUAUUAGCUU
rnacentral:tRNA from 1 species